rnacentral:rRNA from 1 species
AGUGAAUAGAUACCCCGGUAGUCCUAGCCGUAAACGAUACUCGCUAGGUGUCGGCCACGGUGCGACCGUUGUCGGUGCCGUAGGGAAAGCCGUGAAGCGAGCCACCUGGGAAGUACGGCCGCAAGGCUGAAACUUAAAGGAAUUGGCGGGGGAGCACCACAACGGGUGGAGCUUGCGGUUUAAUUGGAUUCAACGCCGGAAAUCUUACCGGGACCGACAGCGAUAUGAAGGCCAGGCUGAAGACUUUGCCGGAUUAGCUGAGAGGUGGUGCAUGGCCGUCGUCAGUUCGUACUGUGAAAGCAUCCUGUUAAGUCAGGCAACGAGCGAGACCCACGCCCACAGUUGCCAGCGUACUCUCCGGAGUGACGGGUACACUGUGGGGACCGCCGCUGCUAAAGCGGAGGAAGGAAUGGGCAACGGUAGGUCAGUAUGCCCCGAAUAUCCCGGGCUACACGCGAGCUACAAUGGUUGGUACAAUGGGUAUCUA